rnacentral:rRNA from 1 species
AUGAAGGAUGCUGCUGUGAGCCAUGCCACCCCAUCAGCAAGCAUUGAAGUGGACGCUCCCGAGACCAACCUAAGCAAGGAAGAUUCCCGCUCAUCUGACACUGAUUCCAAGCGCGUGCAUGGUGGCACUCCUGUGUCCACGACAGAAGCAGCUGAGACGGCAGUUCACAAUGAUAUGCCAUCUACAUGUGAGAGUCUUGGAACAAUAGCUCCAGCUCCUGUCGGUGCAGAUACUGCUAAGGCGACUGUUUCGCGUGCUGGUCUUCCACCUAGGCGUCGUAGCCCCCGCGAGCAAUCAACAGACAUAACCAACACACCGGCUGUAGCUAGGAGCAGCAGAGACGAGUCUGGUUAUGUUCCUGUGUCCACACUGUUCCCCCCACCUGCCAAAAGCAAUGCGAUGGAGAAACCGGAAGACCAGAGCACAACUGAUGCAGGUGUCAAGCCAGGCACGAGUGACGCAGGUGAACGUCCGGAGCAGACUGCGCCUUUACCAGCAGUGGAAAUCCCCAGCUUAAAUCUGCGCACUUCCAGGCUCCCAGUCAAUGUGGGUGUCCCAUACAGCCCAAACAAGAAGAUUGUCAAGAAAGCUGCGGCUGAUACCGCUGACAACACGCCCCGCCCUACAAAUAAGCCCGAUCAUUCGGUAGCGGCCGAUUCAGAUAUGUUUGUUGAUCUUUCACCCUUGGAUUCUGCCCCGCAAGUUGUUCGUGGUCCGGCCAGUAGGCAUGAGAGGCACCCAAUAGCCUUCACCCCACCGAGCUUCAGUCUUGGCAUCAGUCAAGAUGAACCAGUGGUGCCAGAUCCUAUGCCAGUUGCCUUUGCUUUCCUGGGAGGCAUGCCCGCAAUGAUGGCACAACCAAUGGUCGAGGGCAGGAAGGUUAUCAAGUUCGUAGAGCCGAUAGUUCAAGGAUCGAGGAGGCAGCAUUGCAGAGGAGGACCUCACGAGGGCAAGGGCAAUCAAGUUCCAACGUGCCUGCAGAUACGAUAUCUGAGGAUACCAUCAGGAGUGCCACCCCUGGUUCUGUGA